rnacentral:rRNA from 1 species
UGGGGAAUAUUGGGCAAUGGGCGAAAGCCUGACCCAGCAACGCCGCGUGAAGGAAGAAGGUUUUCGGAUUGUAAACUUCUGUCCUCAGGGAAGAAGGAAGUGACGGUACCUGAGGAGGAAGCCCCGGCUAACUACGUGCCAGCAGCCGCGGUAAUACGUAGGGGGCGAGCGUUGUCCGGAAUGACUGGGCGUAAAGGGCGCGUAGACGGUUUUUUAAGUCUGGAGUGAAAGUCCUGCUUUCAAGGUGGGAAUUGCUUUGGAGACUGGGGGACUUGAGUGCGGAAGAGGUAAGUGGAAUUCCCAGUGUAGCGGUGAAAUGCGUAGAGAUUGGGAAGAGCACCAGUGGCGAAGGCGACUUACUGGGCCGUAACUGACGUUGAUGCGCGAAAGCGUGGGGAGCGAACAG